GGGCGAUGAUUAUAGCUUGCCCGCGCUUCUGAUAGUAAUCAUGAAGCAUAUGGGAAAAAAUGGUUGAAUUUCUUAAUAUGAGCCU